CCUUGGUCCUCCCGCAAUGAAUAGUUGUGAACCCCGCCAGGCCCGGAAGGGAGCAACGGUAGCGAUGAAUUUAUGUGCCGGGAUGUGGCUAAGGUGG
rnacentral:SRP_RNA from 1 species